rnacentral:lncRNA from 1 species
UAAGGUGUAUUAGUUUACUAAUCGGGUCUUAGGAGGUAAAACUUGCUGAGACGUUGUCUCAGUGAUUAUUGUACAACCAUUUCAGGACCUGGAUGAGGAGCCUAAGGAGCAUGAAUCUGAUGAGGAGAUCCUUGUUGAGGAACCCGAAGAGGAGUACGUGGAGGAGGACCCCGAGGAUAACCCCGAGUACGACCCGAAUGAGGACUAAGAUCCCGUCCUGUCUUGUCAGACCUUGUUUGCAUGUGAAUAGAUGUUAGACCAGAG